AUGCUUAGCCCUAAACAUAAAUACUCAAAUAACAAGAAUACUCGCCGGAGAACUACUGGCAACCGCCUAAAACUCAAAGGACUUGGCGGUGCUUUAAACCCCUCUAGAGGAGCCUGUUCUAUAAUCGAUAAACCCCGAUCCACCUCACCACUCCUAGCAAUUAUCAGCCUAUAUACCGCCAUCUUCAGCAAACCCUUACAAGGUCACAUAGUAAGCGCAACUAUUCUACAUAAAAACGUUAGGUCAAGGUGUAGCCUAUGGAGUGGGAAGAAAUGGGUUACAUUUUUUGAUCACAGGACAGUCCUAAACGAUAGUCAUUAUGAAAUUAAAGACUCAAGGCGGAUUUAGUAGUAAAUUAAGAAUAGAGAGCUUAG
rnacentral:rRNA from 1 species